UUCUCGUAAGUGGGAUAACACGUUUAUCAACUUUAAAAGCAGUAUGCCUUUCCUAUGUUUCCUCCAACUACAGUGUAUGAUAUACCAUUUUGAAGCUAUGAGUCUGUACUUUUAUAAAUAUAAUCAGAUGUUGCUUACUGGCCUGAUAGUGUUGUAAUGUAGUUUAUUCUUCAUGUUGAACUGUGUAGUUACUGUAACUGCCAGAGACUGAGUGGCACCCUAUUUCCUAGUCAAAGUAGUGCACUUUAUAGCGAAUAGGGUGCCAUUUGGGAUGCCAGCUGACAGAGAACAAAUGAUAAAACAGAAGCUUAUGCAGAUCAGUUGAGGAGCUCACAGAAGCCUGAACACGGACGAAGACAACAGCAACCAUUUUGAGGGAAUACCAUUACAACCAUGCAACUUGGGGUGUUUAUCAUCAUGAUUUCUUCAGGCAGCCUCUGCUCUGUAACAAGCACAACUACAGAUCCUAAUAUGACAACCACAACUGAGGAACCUGCAACAACAACCACAGCUGUAGGUGCAUCUCUUGCUCCAACAGCCACAGAUGCAGCUCCUACUACAACAACCAUAACUGAGGCUCCUACUACAACAACAACUGAAGCUCCUACUACAACAACCACAGAUCCAUUUACUACAACAACAGCUCUUGCUACUACAACCACAACUGCAGUUCCUACUACAACAACCACAGUUCCUGAUGUAACAACCACAACUACAGCUCCUACUACAACAACCACAACUACAGCUCCUACUACAACAACCACAACUACAGCUCCUACUA